UGAACUUUCUAUCCUAAUUUCUCUAAAAGAUCGCGAUAUUCUAACAACGUGAAUUUGACACAAAUUUGACAACGUUAUGUGUGAGUUUUUAAUUGGUCUAAUUUAAUUUUUUUUUUUAUUUUAAAAUCUGAUUUGGAUAAGGUUGAGGAUUAGAUUUCGAAAGUGUCCUUUCUUCUAUUUCACAUUCUAUUACUCUCUUCUCUCCAUUUUAGGCAUUUCAUUUUCAUCUCAACUCUCUCCACAACACUCUCUUCUCCCUUCUCCAUUUUUAGGUUUUCAUUUUGAUUUCAAUCUCUCUCUUCCAUUUUAGUUUUGUGCAUUGUCUGCCCCGUUAGAAGUGUGUGUUUCUCUGUAGAGUUCAUGCUCUGCGUUCAUCGAAGGUUUGUUUAAAGUUUCUCCUUCUCUCUUCGUUUUUGUGUGAAAUGGAUUCGACCCAUGACAUUGGCUCUUCGAACAAGGUUUGGUUUUGUGAUCGUUUCAUUCCUUCGAGUGCUUGUGUAGAGAAACACCCAAGAAUUUUGCAUUGGAUGAAUAUAAAUGUUGGUGACAAGUUCAUCAAACGUGAAAUAGAGACAGAUGGUUGAUGAUUAUGGUGCAUCAAGGAACAAAAUGAGUGAGCCAUUUUUGAACUUAAUCCAACUAUAAAGGAUUUAAAGAAGCAAAUAAAGACAACAAGCAAUAGGAAAAAGAAAAAACAAAUUGAUGUUGCUUUAGAUGAACAAGAGACUCUAAUUGAAGAACUUCAAGAAGAGAUAUCUGCAUUGCGGGCUGAGCUGCUUGAAGAGAAGAAUAAAGAUGAAGGUGGUUACACUACGCCUUAUGAAAAAGAUGACUUUGAAUGUGAAGGAGGAAUUGACAGCCACGACAUUGUUAAGAAGGAAGCAGUACGUUGAAAGCAUUACAAAAGUCAAGCUUGUAGAACUCCCUACACUGGAUAUAGUCCAAAACUUGAGUCAUUUAUGUAAUUUGUUUUUCAAUAGUGCAAUAUUGGUAGAUGGUCAAAUAUG